GACCUGGCCGGGCGGUCCUCCUCACGGUGCGUACUGUCUGGCCGGGCCUUACCUCUUGGUGAGCCGGCAUGCCCUUUACUGGGUGUGUCGGGGAACCAGGACUUUUACCUUGAGAAAAUUAGAGUGUUCAAAGCAGGCCUAUGCCUGAAUACGUUAGCAUGGAAUAAUGAAAUAGGACGU
rnacentral:rRNA from 1 species